CCUGGAUAAGCGGAAGAAAAUGGAUGGAUGGAUGGAUUUAAUGUCACUGGACAGAAAUGGAUACAAUCUCAGAUGUAAAAUACAUUUAUUUUGAUUAACCAAGCAGUGAUGGUCAGCUCUGUCAGCCUGUUCAGGAUGUACCCCACGUCAGCACCUGUUUGUUUUCAGCUUCUCCAAAACAUUACUGUAAAAUAAAUCUUUUUGUAUUGAAACUCUAAUUGGCAAACAGAAGACAUCUGAACAUGAUCCUUAUCAUUAUCAGUCACAAUUAAACUGUUUUUAGUAGCUAGAAGUUUUGUCUCCUGUUUAGUGGAUUCUAAAAUAAUAAAAUCUAUUCUGUUUCAAUGUUAUUUAUGUAGCACAAAAUCACAACACUCACCUGAAGGUGCUUUAUAUUGUAAGGUAAAGAUGCAACAAUAACAGAUCAAAUUAUUACCUAAAUCCCAGUGUUUUUUUUAAUAAUAUAAACAAAAUGUCCUUUUUUAUAAAUAGUACAGGUAUAAUGUGGUCUGACACUAUAUUUUGGGUUUUGUUGCAGACAGUGUUUUUCUUCACUGUAGAUUCUUGAACACUUGAGUUUUUGGACACUUUGUGCUGAAGAGGCAGCUGAAACAUCUGGUACUGUUGUGGUGAUGCUCCAGAGGGCACUGAGAGUGGAAAUCAGACACUAACUGUGGAAGAAAUCUUCGAGGCAAUGUGUGGAAAUGUGUUUCUUGUGCACACAGCACUGAGGAGCCUGUGGAAAAAUCAAGAACUGAGACCGACAGCUGUAGAUGUGGAUCUGCCGUGCUCAUUUCAACGACAAGCAGAAGAAUGCAAUGAAGAAAUGGUGUGAGUGGCGUCAGUGCUGCCAGCUGUGGUCACACAUGUGGUUUCAAAAAGAACAUGUGCAUUCACUGCCAGAAUCACACACCUUAAAGUGCACUUUUAAGUGCUUUAAGAUAAUGUACUGCCAGGAGUUUACGUUCAUACAUGUAAUGUUGAUACUUUGUUCUUCGUAGUUUCUGAAAAAGGAUGUUAAUACUGAGUUCAAAUACAACUUAGAUUGUAAUGCAAAAUGUUUGCUUCACAGCACACACAAAUAUAUUACAGCAAAAUGUAAUUUGCACUGUGAAUGGAUGCAGAUGUGUGUUUCUCUAAGAAAAGUUAUUUUGUAGGUGGAUUACAGUUUGAAAUUCAUUUAGAUUGUCAAACUACAGAGUACAAAUGCAUUUUUUCUACAGCAAGUGGAAGCAAGCCAUGUGGGUAAGAGGAAGCAUCCAAAUAUGUUAAUGUAACAACUGCACAUAGGAGGGAAUCAUUUUAUUCUCAGACAAUGUUAGAAUAGCAACACUCUGCACAUACUGAUAAUAGUGAAGUAUUUCAGUCUGUAUAUUUGGAGAUAAAGUAUUUCACAUCAACAUAUGUACAGAUGAAGGAGGAGCAUUUUCUCUGUAUGAUUUUUAUUCUGUAAAACGACUAUGUCUAUAAUAUCUGCACCUGAUAAGGUUCCAUCCAUCCAUCCAUUCACUUCCGCUUAUCCUGUUCAGGGUCGCGGGGGGGCUGGAGCCUAUCCCAGCUGUCAUAGGGUGAGAAGCAGGGUACACCUGUACAGGUCGCCAGCCUGUCACAGGGCCAACACAGAGAGACAGACAACCUUUCACACUCUCAUUCACACCUAUGGGCAAUUAAGUGUAGCCAAUUAACCUCUAACCCCAGGAAGUGCCUGAUGAGGUUUAAAAUUGAUGUAGUUUAAAGUCAGGCUUUCAAGUGGCUUCAUGGCUGCUGUGUAUCUGUUCAUUUCCUUCCUCAAAAUUAAGAAACCUGAAGGUGUGGACCCUCUCCACACACUCUCUGUUGAUGUGGAGGGGGGCUGGGUCAGUCCUGUGCUUCCUGAACUUUUUGGUUUUCAUGGUGUUCAGUGCAGGUUGUUCUCUGUCAGCUUCAGGACCUCCUCUCUGUGGGCUGCCUCAUCUCCUCAGCUUUUGGAUGAUAUUCAGAAAAUAAAAACAAGUUUAUGUAUUACUCAGCUGUAUGAACGGAUUGUAAGGAAAGGACUGUUUUUGUGAGCUUUCUUUGUGCAUCAAUUUGUCAGUCUGGAUACGUCAUGUGACCGGCGUUGCCAGGUCAACGGACUCUUAGAGUUUCUCCACUGACAUAAAUUUUUGGCACUUUUGGGGAGAACUGUGGUUUUUGGUUUCAUAGUUACUGAAUGCAAAUGAUGUUUUAGUUGGAAUGACUCUAUGAGGCCUGGUCACGUCGCUGUCAUGGCCGCUGAGCUGCUGCGUUCGGUUCCUGUUUGGGCCUGUUUGCCGUCAGUGGGCUUGGUUCCACUUCAGGCUGUCGGCCGUAAUCCAGCACCACUGCUGUUAGAAGAGCCUCUGAAUGUUAAACGUGUAGUUGUGUAUUUAAUACUACAUUUCCAACAGUAUGAAGCUACUAACAGUUACAGUGUUUUUGUAUCAAAUGUAUCAUCGUCACUGUUCAAGAAAUCUAAAUAAAUAGA